UAAGAUAGUGACCAAACAAAAAUAAGCAUGAAAAAUGGCGCCUGUUUUAAAGAUGAACAUGAUGUACAUGUUAUUUCGUCGUUUUCGUGCGGAUAUCAGCGUGAGAAAUUUGUGUUUUAUGUGUCGAUAACCAAGCUUUCGUCCUCAUCAGUCUUGUGAGGCCCCGUAGAGUUUGACUACGUUUUCAUGACCAGUGAUGUUUAAAUGCUGCAGAAUCUCGAAUUCUCGCAUCAAAUCAAACCAAUCACUUUGGCCACGAUUGGCUGAAUUAAAUAAGAAAUUGAUGGAAAGCUGCUUUAACAGAUAAAGAUGUGUGUUCUUUUUGAAGUGAAUGAGUAAAGAAACAUAUGCAAGACAGGACUAAAUGUGUCGGCUGCAUGGUUACAACAAUCCCAAAAGAAAAACAAAAAAAAUCAUACGAUGCCAAGUAGUAUCCAAAGCUGCAUGGCUAUGACAUAUGUGGAAUCAUUAAAAUGCCACAAGCGCUUGAUGGGGCGUAUUCUGCAAUCUUAAUGGUUCUCUUGUCGGGAAAUAGCGCAUACUCUUAAUCUAAUGGACUGGCAAAUUAUGGUAACAAAAUGGCAGAACAUUUGGGUAAACGUGAAGUCAUAAACUAAGAAGAAGCUUAUGGCUGUUGGAACUAUUCAUCAGAUGACUUUGUAACCAUUCACGUUAUGCUUCCAUUGCUGUUUGUUGAUCGGAGUCCAUCGAAGAACAACAGAUGACUCGGUGAUAUUUGAAAUCAUAACGUUCUCUGGUGGCGGAAAUCGCUCUUUAAUAAAGGAUUAAUAACGUGUUAACCGACAACUUGUCAAAUUACAGAGAAAAUGGUUUGAG